AUCCAGCUGAUGAGUCGCAAAUACGACGAAACUAGCGUUGUGGAU
rfam:Schistosoma margrebowiei strain Zambia genome assembly, scaffold: SMRZ_scaffold0003821